rnacentral:rRNA from 1 species
CGGCGGANGGGUGAGUAAUGCUUGGGAAUGUACCUUAUGGUGGGGGACAACAGUUGGAAACGACUGCUAAUACCGCAUAAUGUCUUCGGACCAAAGCGGGGGACCUUCAGGCCUCGCGCCGUAAGAUCAGCCCAAGUGGGAUUAGCUAGUUGGUGAGGUAAUGGCUCACCAAGGCGACGAUCCCUAACUGGUUUGAGAGGAUGAUCAGCCACACUGGGACUGANACACGGCCCAGACUCCUACGGGAGGCAGCAGUGGGGAAUAUUGCACAAUGGGCGCAAGCCUGAUGCGCCAUGCCGCGUGUGUGAAGAAGGCCUUCGGGUUGUAAAGCACUUUCAUAAGGAGGAAAGGUUGGAUGUUAAUACCAUUCAACUGUGACGUUACUUACAGAAGAAGCACCGGCUAACUCCGUGCCAGCAGCCGCGGUAAUACGGAGGGUGCGAGCGUUAAUCGGAAUUACUGGGCGUAAAGCGUACGCAGGCGGUUUGUUAAGCAAGAUGUGAAAGCCCCGGGCUCANCCUGGGAACUGCNUUUCGAACUGGCAAACUAGAGUGUGAUAGAGGGUGGUAGAAUUUCAGGUGUAGCGGUGAAAUGCGUAGAGAUCUGAAGGAAUACCGAUGGCGAAGGCANCCACCUGGGUCAACNCUGACGCUCAUGUACGAAAGCGUGGGGAGCAGACAGGAUUAUAUACCCUGGUANUCCACNCCGUANACGAUGUCUACUAGGAAGCUCGGUUCCUCAGGAACUGUUUUUCNAAGCUAACGC